UUUCCAGAGAUGGAGUUGGUGCCGUUCGGGAACUCUGACACAGGUGCUGCAUGGCUGUCGUCAGCUCGUGUCGUGAGAUGGUUAGGGUUAACGUCCCGUAACGAGCGCAACCCUUGUCCUUAGUUACCAGCACGUUAUGGUGGGCACUCUAAGGAGACUGCCGGUGACAAACCGGAGGAAGGUGGGGAUGACGUCAAGUCAUCAUGGCCCUUACGGCCUGGGCUACACACGUGCUACAAUGGUCGGUACAAAGGGUUGCCAAGCCGCGAGGUGGAGCUAAUCCCAUAAAACCGAUCGUAGUCCGGAUCGCAGUCUGCAACUCGACUGCGUGAAGUCGGAAUCGCUAGUAAUCGUGAAUCAGAAUGUCACGGUGAAUACGUUCCCGGGCCUU
rnacentral:rRNA from 1 species